AAAUCUGAGUGUGAUCACUCUUAUGAAAAUUCUGGCUUUACCUAGGGAAAGGAAAGUGUCUGUGUUGUGUCUUGAUCCAUUGGGAACCUAUGGAUGACAGGCAUUGGAACCUGAAAUUCUGCAGCAUAAAACAUGAAGAAUGUGCAUCAACCUUGACUUGCAGCACCACUUCAAAAGACCAAGAAACUGCUGGAGAGGGACCUGAGAGUCAGCUGUAGAGGCCAACACAGUCUAUAAUGCUUUCAGAUAAUAACCAGAUGAUAGCUCCACAAUUCCAACAAAGAAACACAAGCAGUAUGAACGUACAAUUUUGCCACAGAGCAUUUGCAGGA